UUCCUCGCCGCAUCAUACGUAAUCGAGGCACGAGGAUUACUGAUGUAACCUUCGAUGAAAUGAUAAAUCAUUCAACACUUUCACCAGUCAGGGGCCAAGGUUCUAAGUUUCACAUUUAAUUUACUUUAAAUUGGUAUAAAAAGAAUCGGAAAUUAGGCAGUAACCGUCGAUACGAGCAGCUGGGAAGCCUCUGCUAACCAAGCAUGCCGUGCAUCAUAGUCGACGUCUUUACAGAUAGCUACUAGAAUUUUACCUUAACUACUGGACAUGUUAUCGCACCAGACUUACCACAGCUGAUCACUGGCAAGGAAAGUCAAUAGUUGGAAGAAUACAGCAAGAAAGCAAACUCCACACUUGCUGCCCUCGAGACUGUGAUGCGACGGGACACGUCUACGCAUCAACAAAGUUACAUCGAAUUAAGCCAACUACUGCAAACAUUAGAGCAGAAGAUAACCACUCAACACACCACACAUUGGCUCACAUUUGGCAUCUGUUUUACAUUUACACUAAACAUUUUAUUCCUUACCUUAAAGUAUUGCAGACGACAUCGUAAAACGACUUGCUCCAGGAUGUUCGCAUGGCGAAAUGGUAACCUCUUCGACGGAAGCAGGCCGCCCUCCCAACAAUCUUGGAGGAAGCCGGCCCGAUAGCCGAAGAUCUACUUCCGCUUCAAGUCGAAACAUGUUCCAACCUAACAUCACGUCAAGUAAGCCCAGCACGUGUAACAACGGCUUAAAUCACCGAACUAAGAAGUAAGCAGACGAAUUUACAGUCUGGUACCAAAAGCAACGAACCAAGGAUCUCACGACCAGGACUGGUCCAACUUCCUUCGUCCAGAUAACGACAAGACAUUAUACGUACUGUUAUAAGAAAUGUUAUUCCAAAAGAUUAACCACCCGGAUAUCUAAUGUAUACACUAAAAAUGUUCCAAUAAUUAUUCACAGCGUGAAUUUACUAACACUUAGAAUAACGUAUUAUAACAUUAAUUAUAUGUAACAUAGAACCAGAAUAAGCGUGACAGAAAACAAUCUCACAACUCAGCUAAAAACCGUCUCAAAAAGAUAACUGACCAAGACGACCUCAUUAAACUCCAGCUCAAUCGAGCUGUGACUUUCAAUUUAGGUUGGGGUAGUUGUUGUAUUUGGACACUUUCGUGGUCUCAUUCCCUAAAUUACGAGAGCAUGGUAACUUUCGCAAUAUGAGCAUACUUACGUAAUAAGUGACACUGCUAUGACACGCGGGAAGGAAGCUGUGGUCUUGAUACCUCGCCGCUAGCGAUGAUUCAAGGUUUGCAAGCGUAACCUAAGCAUUGUCACACUUUAUGCUAAAUCGAAGAUUAUUGGAGGAUUAUUGAUGUAACCUCCGGUGAAGGGAUAAGUCACCCAAUUGUUUCGCCAAUCGGAGACCAAGGUUCUAGAUAUCACUCUUCCGCCCCCAGACAUUUUAACUGCUUUGAAUUAGUAUCAAAAGAGGCAGAAAUUAAGAAGUAGUCGUCGAGACGAGCAGCUGGGAAGCCUUCACUAACCAAGCAUGCUGUGCAUUAUAGUCGGCGUUUGUGAAUAUUGUCUGUUUUACUGUCACUGAUUCACUAAGUAACGAAGUCAUUGAGUAACUUCAGAAUAAUUGUAACAAAUUUGAACUAGGUAGUGGUUCUGUUUAGAAGUAGGUUGUGAGGUUUAUAUUUGUAUUCAUUGAUUGUAGAGGCAUUAUAAUAUUGUGCAUAACUAUUUCUGUAUAGAUUUACUUACAUAAUUCUUGUUAUAAUAUAUCCAUAUAUUACUGA